rnacentral:rRNA from 1 species
CCUGCCUCUUAGCUGGGGAUAACUAUUGGAAACGAUAGCUAAUACCGCAUAAAAGACGAUAUCGCAUGAUAUUGAUUUGAAAGGUGCAAAUGCAUCACUAAGAGAUGGACCUGCGUUGUAUUAGCUAGUUGGUGAGGUAACGGCUCACCAAGGCAACGAUACAUAGCCGACCUGAGAGGGUGAUCGGCCACACUGGGACUGAGACACGGCCCAG